CGUAGGUGGCGAGCGUUAUCCGGAAUCAUUGGGCGUAAGGGUGCGUAGGUGGCACGAUAAGUCUGUAGUAAAGGCAGCGGCUCAACCGCUGUUGGCUAUGGAAACUGUCGAGCUGGAGUGCAGAAGAGGGCGAUGGAAUUCCAUGUGUAGCGGUAAAUGCGUAGAUAUAUGGAGGAACACCAGUGGCGAAGGCGGCCGCCUGGUCUGCAACUGACACUGAAGCACGAAAGCGUGGGAGCAAAUAGGAUU
rnacentral:rRNA from 1 species